CUACGUGCCAGCAGCCGCGGUAAUACGGAAGGUUCGGGCGUUAUCCGGAUUUAUUGGGUUUAAAGGGAGCGUAGGCCGGAGAUUAAGUGUGUUGUGAAAUGUAGACGCUCAACGUCUGAAUUGCAGCGCAUACUGGUUUCCUUGAGUACGCACAACGUUGGCGGAAUUCGUCGUGUAGCGGUGAAAUGCUUAGAUAUGACGAAGAACUCCGAUUGCGAAGGCAGCUGACGGGAGCGCAACUGACGCUUAAGCUCGAAGGUGCGGGUAUCGAACAGGAUUAGAUACCCUGGUAGUCCGCACAGUAAACGAUGGAUGCCCGCUGUUGGUACCUGGUAUCAGCGGCUAAGCGAAAGCAUUAAGCAUCCCACCUGGGGAGUACGCCGGCAACGGUGAAACUCAAAGGAAUUGACGGGGGCCCGCACAAGCGGAGGAACAUGUGGUUUAAUUCGAUGAUACGCGAGGAACCUUACCCGGGCUUGAAUUGCAGAGGAAGGAUUUAGAGAUA
rnacentral:rRNA from 1 species